rnacentral:snRNA from 1 species
AUCGCUUCUCGGCCUUUUGGCUAAGAUCAAAGUGUAGUAUCUGUUCUUAUCAGCUUAAUAUCUGAUACAAGGACCAUGUGUCCUUUUCGAUAUUAAACUUAUUUCUGAGCGGGGGAGGAGACUCACAUGCUUGCAUGGGCUCCUUCACGAGUUGGCCUGGUAUUGCAGUAUCUCCAGGAAUUUGGCUCACUUUCC